rnacentral:lncRNA from 1 species
AUGACGUCCCCUGUCCCUGCUCUCGCUGUAACCCUGACCAAGCAUAAAACUCUCAGCUCCUCGCCCAUCCCCAGGCAGAGCUCCAUGCACCCCAGGGGCUCGCUGGCACAGAGGGUGACGCCUGCUCCUUGUGUCCCCUGCCUGCCCUUCCUAACGAGCCUGUUUUCUCCCAUCCCAGCACCCCAGUCACGGGAGCCACCCCAGCGUGUCCCCAUGAGGACAUACAUCUCCAAUCCAUGUAGCAUCAGCAUCUCUCUCUUUUUGUCCAGCCUCCAUGCUGUUUGCCAGCCUGCUGCUGUCCUUGCAGGGCUCUCCUUUCUUCAAGGAAGCUGCUUCUACUCCAUAAAGCUUGAUGCCUGGCCCCCUUUCCCCCGGCAGGGCCAACCACCCUUCCCUCGGUGUUGUCGCUGCGGCUCCAAGCCACAUGCUCCAUCUGUGUCGGAGACACGGUGCCUAUUGCUGCCUGCGGGCGCGUCCCAGCACACACAAGGUUGUUUUAACUUUACCCUUCUGCCUUCUGUUCACCAUCUUCCAGAUCUGCCCUUUCCGAUUUGCUCCACGCUGCUGCCUCCAGGGUCUCUCCAGCUCCAAUCUGGCCUCAUACACAGGCCGUUCCCGCUCCGAGGUAGCUCCAGUCUGUCCUUACUGGGGCUGGGGAAAGCUGUCACGGUGGCAGUGGUAUUCAUCUGGAUAAGCUGGGCGUUCACUGGAGCCCCCUCGCCAGUCCGAUCUGUAAUGGGCUCAGGUCACCGUCAUUUCUACCCAGGAACCAUGCGCUGGGGCAGCUUGAAUGUAUUUCCUUUAGCAGUCACCCUGCUGAAAGAGCAGAUCCCACACGGGGUGCAGACUCGCUGCCCAGCACAAAUCAGGGCCGCAAAGCCCAGCCCCUCACGCCCUGGCACCACCGUGGUGCUCCCGGCUGCACCUCGGGUGAGCGAAUCCUGUCCGUUUGCAAGAUUUCCUCUCCCACCGGGCCCACGGAGCCACGCUGAUUCUUUAACGACAGCUGAGAUUUGUGAGUAUUGA